rnacentral:rRNA from 1 species
GACGUAGGGCGCGAGCGUUGUCCGGAUUUAUUGGGCGUAAAGAGCUCGUAGGCGGCUUGUCGCGUCGAAUGUGAAAUCCUGCGGCUCAACUGCAGGCUUGCAUUCGAUACGGGCAGGCUAGAGUUCGGUAGGGGAGACUGGAAUUCCUGGUGUAGCGGUAGAAAUGCGCAGAUAUCAGGAGGAACACCGGUGGCGAAGGCGGGUCUCUGGGCCGAUACUGACGCUGAGGAGCGAAAGCGUGGGGAGCGAACAGG